rnacentral:tRNA from 1 species
GGAGGUGUGGCUCCGUGGCAGAACAGGUGCUUAACAUGCACCAGACCCUGGGUUCCAACCCCAGCACCAAAA